GGAGUGGCUCAGUGGUAGAGGAUCAGCUUUGUGUGCAGAAGGUCCCAUGUUCAAUCCCACAGCAUCUCCU